CGAAUUUUGUCACGGCGACACAGAAUGGUCACGUGAAGACAAUGUUCAAGGUUGCAUGGAGUCCGUUUCUUGCCGCGUUCAACGUCAAUCUACAAGGCAACGACAAUCCUUCUGUUGCUUCAUUUUGUCUUGAUGGAAUCCGCUGUGCAAUACGAAUAUCUUGCAUAUUCAGCAUGCCUUUGGAAAGAGAUGCUUUUGUACAAGCGCUAUCCAGGUUCAUUUUACUUACUGCGACCAGUGGC